UUUGGAGCGGUCUCUGGUCCGCUUGGCAUUCACAUUCAAACCGAACCCAGACCCAGAGUUAGCUUAGCAUUCACAUCAACUGAACUGGACUUUCUGGAACAUCAUUAAAGCGAACUGAACAGGACUGAUGUGAAUGGUGCAACCUAAAAUACAGUUUAGAUAACAGUGGUUCACGUCCGUUAUCUGGUUGGAGCUACAGCAGAAGGACUGGUGCGCCAUGUUAGUCUUCGCUUUAGCAUGACGCCAUGUUGGGUGUUUGGGUUUAAACUUUCUCCUGAGUACGAUGGACCGAGCUGCACCGACCCGAUCAGGAGAAGCCGGGUUUUAGUGGAUGUUCACCUAUUUUUGUUUUCAUGUUUGUUCAUUUUCUUCACAACCGGAGCACCAGCAGGUCAGACUUGGUUCUCAGCUCAUUACAAACAUUGUUUGAGUGUUGAGCUCAGACCUUUAAAUACAUUUUCACCCUGAUGCUGUUUUCUGUAUGUGAACUCGCAGCUCAUGGAUAAUCAAUAACAUCUUCCAUGUUUGUAGUUCACCUCAGUCUUCAGUGGUUUGAAAACUCUCUAAAUAUUUCAUUAACCCCACUGGAGUUCCUGCGAACACUUCAAAGUCUGACUCUUGAGCAUCUCUUUUUUCUUUUUUUUUAAAUCUGAAGUGAGAAGUUUUUCCUUCAGUCCACAUCAGAAAGAUUAAACGGCUGCUUUCAGCUGCAGAUCAGCCUGACGCCCACAGACCAGCUGUCUUUCUUCCACAGAGUUUAAAUUCAUUAUCUGUCAUGAAACCGGUUCUCCAGACGCUUCCUGACAUCCAGCUCCUCUCCACCUGCAGUGACUCGGAGCAGGCCAUGACAGGGCCUCUAAAGACGAGAGGGAGAAGAAAGGAGCGAGCCGGCCAAGACGGAUGGAUGCCGAGGCCACAGAGCAUGCUCAGACGGGGGGUUAGAGGUCAGAGGUCAGGCUAAUUUGCAGCUUGUUGAAUGGAAACACGUUUCGUCUGACGGAUGGGUUGGGAGACUGCUCUGGUGUUUCCACAUGGAUGCAGAUUGUUUCGUUUUAAAACCAAACAUGACGACAAGCCGGGCCUUUGGGCGGCGGCCAUCUUUGGAUCCCUGGUUCAGAUCCAGAGCAGACGGAGCUCACAUCACAGGAUGGAUGGAAUCGCAGCCUGCUGGAGUCCAGGCAGGAGCUGAUGGACAUUCAACACAUUUAUCAGAAACAGUCUGGGGAGGGGAAGCCGCUAAAGAAGCUAGGAAAGUCCAGAUCGGCCCGGUAGAAACCGACCUGGAGACACGGAGGAGAAACUUUGACAACUUUGGUGUCGGUGCUUUGAAAUUAGUGAUGAGAUCCAGCAAGCUGCGCUAGCAGUUUAGCUUAGCACUUUAGCUUGUUGGGUUAGCUUAGCAUGCAGUUCAUUGCAUCAUGCAGUGAUUUCCGCGUUGGGACAGAGUCACUCAGCAUGACCUGCUGUUGCUCAGACUGAUAAAAUCAGUGACAUGAACUCUGAACUCUUCAGUUACUACAUGCUGUGAUCUGGUUGGGGGGUCGGGGGAAGAGAGGUCGGCCUUGUUGCCCCCCGGGGUAACAGUCGGGGCACUCUGGGUGUGAACAACCUGAGGAGAGAUUUCCUCCUGGAACCAGUUAAACCUGGAAUCGUUUCCAGUUGUUCUGGAUCCCUGCAGGGAUUCUGGAUGCAAUUAUUCCCAGAACCUGGUGGACUACUGUGGAAACAUUCGGGACUACUGGGACAUUACUGGGACAUUACUGGGACCAUUACUGGGACCAUUACAGCAGUGCUGAUCUUAUCUGGAGAGUAGUUAGCAGAACCAUCAGCAGCCGUUCUGUUCUUGGUUCUGGAAGCUGAGCAGCAGGUUUGUUCCUCGGGAUUAGUGACUGGAAACCAGUCCCUCCCAGUACCUGCAGACUGGGAGCCGAACAUGACAGAACUUCAGAACCGGACGGUAUUUGCUGUGACCCUAAAGAGGCUCGUGACCCGCAGCCUCCUGAGCGCCUUCAGCUUCUGUUCCUCAGUGUGAAGGAAUGGAGAAGCUCAGCAUUUUAGCUUGGUGGUUUAGCUCAGUGUUUUAGCUCGGUGUUUAGCUUAGUGCUUUAGCUCGGUGUUUAGCUUAGUGUUUUAGCUCGGUGUUUAGCUUAGUGCUUUAGCUCAGUGUUUAGCUUAGCUUAGUGCUUUAGAUGUUCGUCUCCGCCGCUGCUCCACUGAUUCCUGACGUAGCCAUGAGGCUCAGGAAGCUGCUGCUCCAUUGGUCGUCCUGCUGAGUUUUUUUUCCACGGUUCAUGGUGUCUCACACACACACACACACACACUGAGGUGUGUUUCUGCUCCACUCAGGAGUUUCUGAACAAAUUGAUUCUUGGUUCUGGUUCUGUUGCAGGUUUCUUCCUGUUAAAGGGAGUUUUUCCUCUCCACUGACGCUACUUUCACACUCUGUAUGAAGUCAAUGAUUCAUUUACUUAGAAAAUGUUUAAAGUAAUUUGAAUAAUUAAUUGAACUUAUUGUACUGUUUGAUCAGCAGGAUCAAUUAGCAUGUGUGUAUUGAUUGAAUUAAAGUCACUUGUUUGUCAGGA